rnacentral:rRNA from 1 species
UGGGGAAUUUUGGACAAUGGGGGCAACCCUGAUCCAGCCAUGCCGCGUGCGGGAAGAAGGCCUUCGGGUUGUAAACCGCUUUUGUCCGGGAAGAAAAGGCCUCUCAUAACACGGGAGGUUCUUGACGGUACCGGAAGAAUAAGCACCGGCUAACUACGUGCCAGCAGCCGCGGUAAUACGUAGGGUGCGAGCGUUAAUCGGAAUUACUGGGCGUAAAGCGUGCGCAGGCGGUCCGUUAAGUCUGAUGUGAAAGCCCCGGGCUCAACCUGGGAAUGGCAUUGGAAACUGGCGGGCUCGAGUGUGGCAGAGGGGGGUGGAAUUCCACGUGUAGCAGUGAAAUGCGUAGAGAUGUGGAGGAACACCGAUGGCGAAGGCAGCCCCCUGGGCUAACACUGACGCUCAGGCACGAAAGCGUGGGGAGCAAACAGG